UGAGGAGGUGCAAUAUUAUCACAUGUUGCUUUUGUGCCUUUGCAGGGCUCUAGACUCAUUUUUCCCUCUGGUCGCAUUGGUGCGUACCACUUUCUCAGUUGGUUGCACCAACUUACAAUUUGGUCGCACCCUUUUUUAUGGUAAUCAUAAUGACCUCAGUUGAUGAAUCGUGCUGUUAAUUUGUCACUCUGUCUUUUAAAAUAGUUGGAUAUAGACCGCUUCAUAUUUGCACUUUUACACUUCCGAGCCCAAUAAAUGCAAAGAAACGUUGUAUUUGUUAUUUUAUACAGUUGUAAUUAUUUAGUUUUAUAUUCAAGUGAUAUAUUUGCUAUGAAAUGAUCUGACACAAAUAUAACCUCCCUGAUAGCAAUAGACUUCGGGGCGUAUCCGCCUUCAAGUCGCCUGGUCCGCUGUACUCUCAGAUUCAAUUCGGCCACACGCACAGAAUAUGCCCCGCCUCCGCACAACGCACUGUCAACUCGCGGACUCGCAACUGACGCUGGGCGAAUUCUCUGACCGAACGCGCCUUUUUUAAACCGUCACAGUCACUUAUUCCAUCUCCUCACACAGUGGAAACGCUGGAGCUGGCAGGUCGGUGAGGACGGAACACGCUUACAGCUCAUUCAAGUGCCACUGGUCUUGCAGUAUUUCAUCUUUUCCAAACAACCGAGUAAACUUACAGCUCAUUCAAGUGCCACUGGUCUUGCAGUAUUUCAUCUUUUCCAAACAACCGAGUAAAUUUACAGCUCAUUCAAGUGCCACUGGUCUGUUUUUGGAGAAUUUCAUCUUUAAGGUGCUGUGAGAAAGAGCCAUGUCUCCCGUGCCGCCACUGAUGAUGACAUUACAAAACACGUAAUACGGUGGUUCAACUUGGCAGCAGAUAGGGGAAACUCAAGGAGCCGUCCCACUGUCAGCACCCAACAGUAGCGUUUCGGUGUUUCACAGUUAACUUCUGUGUUUUGAAGUGUUCGUUUAACAGUUAAGUAGUAACAGUUGAGAUAAAGUUUACUACUUUAAAUAGUUUUGUUUCUAUUCAUCUUCAAAAAACCCAGUUUCCACACAAAAAAAUAAGCAGUGCAACAUUAAUAAGAAUAAAUGUUUCUUGAGCUACAUUAAAAAAGUGUUCUUUUUCAUUAAAUAAAAAAUGUUCUUUGGACAAUUUAUGGUUGCAUUUCAUUUUCUGUAAUACCUAUUAAUUGUAUACAUAAAUAAUUGUUACUGGCUAAAAUGGCUGAAUUUUGAUUUACAAGUUUUGAAUGAUUUCAUCAUGUUUUAUUAAUAAAGGCAGGCAUAUUAAAUAUUAUAGAGCAAUCCAGUCUAUCCAAUGUCGGUCCAUUAGAUUUGAAAUAUUUCUUUAGCUAGUUUUGGCCAGAAUACUAGUUUUAAAUGAGGGAUCUGAAAGGUAUCCAGACAGAAUGACCAGAUCGGAUCCGUGGCGGAUCAGCUGCUUUAUAAACGGGUCCUGAUCGGAUCCGUGGCGGAUCAGCUGCUUUAUAAACGGGUCCUGAUCGGAUCCGUGGCAGAUCAGCUGCUUUAUCAGCGGAUACAGGGCGGGUCUGCCCCAGAUCUGGUCCGGAUCCGCAAUCCUUAUUUGUUCCGGAUCCGCUGCGCUGUGCAAGUGGACUCCGUUCCGGACCCGUUUUGCGCAUCCGUUCCGGAGCUUGUGACACUU